ensembl:snoRNA
AACAUGGAGAUAAUGAUGGUUUCAAGCACAUAUCCUAAUCCUACAAUGUGGAGAAAACAAAUCUCUGAAUCUCCUAGCU